UCGACGCCAUCUUGGUUACAGCCAGCUGUUUGUUCAUACCUUCCCUACUCUUCUUAAGCAGAGAUACGCGACAUGCCGGCGUCUCGCUCUCGAUCGAGAUCGCCGAGGAGGAUUUCGACUUCAUCAAAACCGAAUUCUCGUGAGCUUAUCACGAUUAAAACCGAAAAAGACUCCGAAAAUAGCACAAAUAAGAACACUGACUCUUCAGCUUCCCAGAGCACCAAACCAAGUGAGAAGCCUUUCCGAAAGCCAUUAGAAUCGUCAGCCUCCAAAAGUAGCGGCGCGAGCAAUUGGAGUUCAUCACACAAAACUAAGGAGAGAAAGUUUUCCGGACGAUGUAGGCUUUUCGUGGGGAACCUGACCAACUGCGAUGAGAAGGAGCUUAGGGAUAUGUUUGAAAAGUAUGGAGAGGUGGCAGAGGUUUUUGUAAACAAGGAUAAAGGAUUUGGUUUCGUGAGACUGGAUACACGUCUGAAUGCAGAAGCUGCUAAACAAGCUGUUGAUAACCAGUAUAGAAAUGGAAGAACUUUGCGUGUGCGAUUUGCCCAACAUGCAGCUGCUCUGAAAGUACUAAAUCUUGGUCCAACAGUCACAAAUGAGCUGUUACAUCAGGCUUUUUCACAGUUUGGUGAUGUGGAGCGAGCCAUUGUUGUCUGUGAUGACAGAGGAAAAUCCAAAGGACAUGGUAUUAUUGAGUUUUCAAGAAAGAACUCUGCUCAAACUGCUUUGCAGCAAGUUAAUGAUGGCUUAUUCCUCCUUGGAAGAACCCCAUGUCCUGUAUCUGUCAAACAGUUAGAGCAUAUAGAAGAUGAAGAUGGUAUUUUAGAUGAACAUAUGAAGAGAAAUCCUGCAUUUCAAAAAGAGAGAGAAGCCCAACCACACUUUGUGUCACCCAAUACAUUUGAGUCAGAAUGGGCCCAGAGAUGGCGAGCAUUGGAAGAAAUGGAAGGAUCCCAGAGAGAAGCUCUAGACAAACAGUUUAAAGAAGCUCGUGAUAAAUUGCAAGGGGAAAUGGAUCAGGCUAUCCAAGAACAUGAAGCUGUACUAAUGAGACAAGAAAUUCAACGUCGUCAAGAUGAGCUUCGUCGAUUUGAAGAGAUGCGUCAGAAAGAAGAGAUGAUGAGGAAAGCAGAAUUAAGGAGACAAGAAGAAAUGCGUCUUCAGGAAGAAUUGCAGCGGAGGGAAGAAGAGCUGCGACAUAAGGAGGAGCUCUUCAGGCAGCAACAGCGAGAACUUCAGAGGCAUCGACAAGAGGACAUGUACCUACAGGAUUCUAUGCGGCAUAUGGAUACUAACAUCCCACCAGGAAUGCCUCCCAUGGGACCUCCUGGUGGAGACUGGGGAAGAGGGCGUGGUGGACCACCCCCACGAGGACCACCAGGAAGAGGUGGACCACUAGGCCGUGGAGGGCCAGGCUUUGGUCCUCGUCCACCAGGUCCAGGGAUGGGGAACCCUCCAAGGAUGGGCCCAGGAAUGAUGCCACCUAGAGGACCACCUAUGGGAGGUCCACCUCCAGGCCCUCGUGGACCCAUGGGACCAGGGAUGAGACCUAAUGGGCCGCUUAUUGGUGUCAUUUGAAGAGUGCAGUAACUUCAAACAGAGAUUGAAAUUGUAACUUACCCAGCUAUGGGGGGAUUUCCUGUCAUUAUUGUGUGUGGUUACAAAGUUGAAGGUUUACUGCCCCACAUGGCAGAGCAAGGAAUACCGAGUUGAGAGUUGAUUCACCAUCAAUUUGUAAGCCCAAUUUUUGGAAGAGUUACAGAUUAAAGCUAGGGAACCAAGGGGAACAAAAGUCACCAAAGUUUUGACAGCACAGAGAACAAAUUAUGUGCGUUCAAACAGAUAUUUCGACAGCACAAGGAGUAAAUGAGGAAUGGCUUCAUUUGUUUUUACAUUUGGUCGUUGUAAAUUUAGCAGCUAGAUUCCAUCUUGCCAUGCAUUUGUUC
rnacentral:misc_RNA from 1 species